rnacentral:lncRNA from 1 species
CUUGAACCUGGGAGGUAGAGGUUGCAGUGAGCCAAGAUCGUGCCACUGCACUCCAGCCUGGGUGACAGAGCAAGACUUCAUCUCAGUAAAUAAAUAAAUAAAAAAAUUAAAAAAUGAUGGAAUAUAACUGUUGAUUAGAAUGUGGAGAAAACCAUUGUAUACUGUUGGUCAGAAUUGAAAUUAUUACCACCAACUUGGAAAAUAGUAUGAAGCUUUCUCAAGAAUUUAUAAAUAUAUUCACAUUAUGAUUCAUCAGUGCAUCUUCUGGAUAUAUGUCUAAAGAACUUAAAAUCAGUAUGUCAAAGAGACAACUGCAAUUUCAUGUUCAUUGCAGAGUUAUUCAUAAUAGCUGUGAUUUAGAAACAACCUAAGUGUUUAUCAACUGAAGAAUGGAUAAAAAAUAUGUGAAAAAUUGAAACCCUUAUACACAGCUGACGAGACUUUAAAACAGUCUGGCAGUUCUUCAAAAGGAUAAAUACAGAAUUACCACAUGACUCAGUAAAUUAACUCCUGUGUAUACACCAAAAAGAAAUUAAAACAAAUGCCUACACAAAAAGUAGCAUACAAGUAUUUGUAGCAACAAGAAGUAGGAAAUAACAGCAAUGUCCAUGAAUUGCGGAGUGGAUUAAUAAAAUGUGGUCUGUCCAUAAAAUAUAAUAGUAUUUGGCAAUAAAAAAGGAAAAAGGUAUUAAUACAUGCUCCAAAAAGGAUGAACAUUGAAAACAGAAGUGAAAGCAGUGAGUCACAUGUAACUAUAUAUUAUUAUGAUUCCAUUUACAUGAGAUGUCCAGAACAGGCAAAUCCUUAGUUAGGAAGUAGAUGGAUGGUUGCCUAGGGCUGGGAGGGGUUUAAAGGAAGAGUGGGGAAAAUGGGGAAAGAUUGCUAAUGGGUGCAAGGUUUCUUUUAAGGAGCAUAAAAAUGUUCUAAAAUUACAUUGUGAUUGUUUAUCCACCUAGUUAAUACUCUAAAAAAUUAAAGUUUACACUUUAAAAGAGUGAAUUAAAUAAUAUAUAAAUUAUAUCUCAAUGAACCUGUGAAAAAUAAAAAAAUAUGUGAUAUGCUUACAUAGAUAUACAAAAACUUCUGUUUAUUGUAUUUUUUUAUUUCCAUAGGUUUUUGGGGAACAGGUGGUGUUUGAUUAUAUGAGUAAGUUCUUUAGAGGUGGUUAGUGAGAUUUUGGUGCACCCAACACCUGAGCAGAAUACGCUGUAUCCAGUUUGUAGUCUUUUAUUCCUCACCCGCUUCCCACCCUUUCCCCCAAGUCCCCAAAGCCCAUUGUAGUAUUUUAAUGCCUUUGCAUCCUCAUAGCUUAGCUCCCACUUGCGGGUGAGAGCAUACUGUGUUUGGUUUUCCAUUCUUAAGUUACUUAGAAUAGUAGUCUCUGAUGUCAUCUUGCUGUGAAUGCCAUUAUUUUUUUCCUUUUUAUGGCUGAAUAGUAUUCCAUGGUGGGUGGGUGGGGGUGUGUGUGUGUAUACUAUAUCUAUAAUAUAUAUCAUAAUAUCUUAAUCUCAUUGAUUGAUGGGCAUUUGGCUGGUUAAAUAUUUUUGCAGUUGUGAAUUGUGCUGCUGUAAACAUGUGUGUACAAGUAUCUUUUUCAUAUAAUGACUUCUUUUCCUCUGGUAGAUAACUCAGUAAUGGAAUUGCUGGAUUAAAUGGUAGUUCUACUCCUAGUUCUUUAAGAAAUUUCCACGCAGUUUACCGUAGUGGUUGUACUAGUUUACAUUUCCACCAGCGGUGUAAAAGUGUUAUUUUUUCACCAUAUCCCCACCCACAUUUAUUAUUUUUUGAUGUUUUGAUUAUGGCCAUUCUUGCCAGGAGUAAGGUGGCAUGGCAUUGUGGUUUUGAUUUGCAUUUCCCUGAUCAUUAGUGAUGAUGAGCAUUUUUUCAUGUUUGUUGGCCAUUUUUAUAUCUUCUUUUGAGAAUUGUCUAUUUAAGUCCUUAUCCCAUUAUUUGAAGGGAUUGGUUUUUUUUCUGCUGAGUUCUUUGUAGAUUCUGGAUAUUAGUCCUUUGUCAGAUGUAUAGAUUGUGAAGAUUUUCUCCCAUUCUGUGGGUUGUCUGUUUACUCUGCUAAUUGUUUCUUUUGCUGUGCAGAAACUUUUUGGUUUAAUUAAGUCUCACCUGUUUAUCUUCAUUUUGUUGUCACACUUGCUUUUGGCUUCUUGGUCAUGAAGUCUCUGCCUAAGCCAAUGUGUAGAAGGGGUUUUCCAAUGUUACCUUGUAGAAUUUUUAUGGUUUCAGGUCUCAGAUUUAAGUUGACUUUUGUAUAAGGUAAGAGAUGGGGAUCCAGUUUCAUUUCUUGGGAUGUAGCUUGCCAAUUAUCCAAGCACCAUAUGUUGAGUAGAUUGUCCUUUCCCGACUUUAUGUUUUUGUUUGCUUUGUCAAAGAUCAGUUGACUGUAAGUAUUUGGGUUUAUUUCUGGGUUCUCUAUUCUGUUUCAUUGGUCUAUGUGCCUAUUUUUAUACCAGUAUCAUGCUGUUUUGCUGACUAUGGCCUUGUAGUAUAGAUUGAAGCCAGGUAAUGUAAUGCCUCCAGAUUUGUUCUUUCCGCUUAGUCUUGCUUUGGCUAUGCGGGCUCUUUUUUGGUUCCAUAUGAAUUUUCAAAUUAUCUUUUUUAGUUCUGUGAAGGAUGAUGGUGAUACUUUGAUGGAAAUUGCUUUGAAUUUAUAAAUUGCUUUUGAUGUUAUGGUCAUUUUUGCAAUAUUGAUUUUACCCAUCCAUGAGCAUGAGAGGUGUUUCCAUUUACGUCAUCUGUGAUUUCUUUCAGCAGUGUUUUGUAGUUUUCCUUGUAGAGGUCUUUUACUUCCUUGUUAGGUAUAUUCCAAAGUAUUUUAUUUUAUUUUUUUGCAGCUAUUGUAAAAGGGGUUGAAUUCUUGAUCUGAUUCUCAGCUUGCACAUUAUUGGUGUAUAGCAGAUCUUUUGAUUUGGGUACAUUAAUUUUGUGUCCUGAAUUUUUGCUGAAAUUAUUUAUCAGUUUUAGGAGCUUUUUGGAGGAGUCUUUAGGGUUUUCUAGGUAUACAAUCCAUAUCAUCAGCAAACAGAGACAAUUUGACUUCCUCUUUACCGAUCUGGAUGCCCUUUAUUUCUUUCUCUCAUUCGAUUGCUCUGGCUGGGAUUGUCAGUGCUAUGUUGAAUAGAAGUGGUGAGAGUGGGCAUCCUUGUAUUUAUUGUUGCAGUUCUCAGAGGAAAUGCUUCUAACUUUUCCCCAUUUAGUAUUAUGUUGGCUGUGGGCUUGUCAUAGGUGGUUUUUAUUACCUUAAGGUAUGUCCCUUCUAUGCCUGUUUUGCUGAGGGUUUUAAUUAUAAACGGAUGCUGGAUUUUGUCAAAUGCCUUUUCUGUGUCUGUUGAGAUGCUUAUGUGACUUUGCUUUUAAUUCUGUUUAUGUGAUUAUCACAUUUAUUGACUUGCCUGUGUUAGACCGGAAGAGCUGGGGUGUUCUCAGGAGCCACCGUGUGCCGCGGCAGCUUCGGGAUAACUUGAGGCUGCAUCCUGGGGAAGAAACACCUCCUGUCCGUGGCGCUGAUGGCUGAGGACAGAGCUUCAGUGUGGCUUCUCUGCGACUGGCUUCUUCGGGGAGUUCUUCCUUCAUAGUUCAUCCAUAUGGCUCCAGAGGAAAAUUAUAUUAUUUUGUUAUGGAUGAAGAGUAUUACGUUGUGCAGAUAUACUGCAGUGUCUUCAUCUCUUGAUGUGUGAUUGGCUUUCUCCACCUUGCUGGAAGUGACCUGCUGUCCAGAAGUUUGAUGGCUGAGGAGUAUACCAUCGUGCAUGCAUCUUUCAUUUCCUGCAUUUCUUCCUCCCUGGAUGGACAGAACAUAAAGAAGAAGUGAGACUUGCUGAAUGAGACUCUUGAACGCUUCCUCUGACAAGCUCCAAGGCACACUGGUUGUCUUGCAGUGCUUUGGACAGCUACUCGUUUGUUGGACAAUAAUUUCCCAACAUGGGGACAACCCAGAGCAUUUUCCACUUCCAUAUUCUGCUUCAGUUGCUCAUGGUUUUGAUCGAAGCUAGACAGUGACUGAACCAGGAGGCUCAGACCCCAGGCCAGCGUGGAGUCCUGUGGUUGAAGACAGGCUGGACCAUCAGAGGAAGAAAACAAGUAGCCCUUUUUUCUGGAUUUUCACCUUCUCUGUUUUCAGGAAACCUGAAGCCAAUUAUGUUAUGCAGGCAUGACUGAAAAGAGAUUAUUUUGAGUUGUUUUGGUGGCACCAAGAAAUGUGCCAAUGUGACAGCCAAAAAAGCAGAAAGACCAAGGCAUUGAGAGUGGGAGAGCCACUGAUGAUGCUGGGUCUGGUAGGCUUUUCGAGAUCUCUCCCAGCCCCAAAACAGCCAAGCAACUCUGUCCUGGGUUGUGAGUGGGCUCAGCCGCCCCUGUGCACACCCAUGCUUGGAUUCUGGCACACAUGGCACCCACAGGAGGCAGUUCCCCCUUCAGGAGACUGGUUGGCAGGACCCUGUCUCCACACGCAAAGACAGCAGGCAGAACCCACACGUCCUCUAGUUUUCCCAGUGUCACUCGCCCAUGGGGGUUCACGAUGAGACCCCACGGGUCCAACCUGCAGGCAGAGUUGCCACCCCAGCCUGAGGCAAAGUGGACCUUUUUCUGCCAGAGGGGUCUGCUUUCCCAUUGGCCAAAAUGGCCUCAAAUGACAGGGACAGAACAAGGCACAAGUGUACCCAUUAGAGUGUCUGAGCCCGCCUGGUGUCUGCUUCCACACAUCUCCUGGGAGGUCCCAGCAGGCACCCAGGCCUGGGCCACAGCUCACCCCACAUUCAGAGGUGGGUAGCACAGCUGCCCUAUGCAGGCCUCAGGGAGGAAAGGGAGAAAGAGAUGACAAAAGCAAGACACAAGAAAUGCAGCAAAAGCACACAAACACACACACUGACACUCAUCUGGGGCAGGCCAUCCUCUCACCCAUGACCAGCAGUGCAGGCAGCUGAGAGUUGGGCAGGAGGUGGUGCCACCAUCCCCUGAGUUAGGGCCUGGAUCCAAGGAAGAACAUAGAGUCCCUAGAGUCAAGCGCCACUGACCUCAAGACCUGCAGUUUGCAGGGAGGGGAUGCUGUGAGAAGAACUGUUCUAGGUCACAGCGAAAUAUGUCUGACUUCAAGAAAAUAUUUGAAACCAAAGUACAUUUAUUGAAGACUCUCAAUGAUAUAAAAAAGCACAGUUUAGAAAAUGUGAAAGCAAUCACUGAACAUAUUCAUAUAUUUUCAUCUAAAUUUAGUUACAGAGUUUUUCUAAAACUGGGAUCAGGCCAGGUAUGGUGGCUCAGGCCUGUAAUCCUAGCACUUUGGGAGCUUGAGGCAGGAGGAUCGCUUGAGGCCAAGAGUGGAGACCAGCCUGGGCAACAUGGUGAGACCCCUCAUCUCUACCAAAAAUACAGAACUUGGCCAGUCAUGGUAGCACACUCCUGUAGUCCCAGCUACACAGAAGGCUGAGGUGGGAGAAUUGCUUGAGCCUGGGAGGUUGAGGCUGCAGUUAGACAAGACUGCACCACUGCAUUCCAGCCUGGGUGACAGCCUGUCUCAAAAAAUAAUAACAGUAAUUCCCGAUUUUAAUAAUUAUUCUAGAGUUGUGUAAAAGAAUACCCUUAGGAAAUGCACACUUUGGGGUAAUUAUGUCUAUAGUUUACACUGAAAUCAUUAAAAGAGGUAUGUAAACAGACAAAGCAAAUGGGACAAAAUGGAGCAAAUUUCUACAAAUUUUAGAAAUUGGUGAGUCUUGGUUAAGAGAAGGAGGAGGAUUCUUGGUACUAUUCUUGUGACUUUUGAAAUUAUAUAAAAAUUUUAAGUUCCUAAAAACUGGCUGUAGAACUAUACGCUCAGAGUGAGCAUUUAUUUUGUAAAAUAGUGAUUAAGACCAAAUCUUUAAUCAGUUAAAAAUCUGAUCAAAUAAAAGUAGUAAUAUAUUACGGUAUUUUUGACAUCAAAUCAUUGUAAAGGGGCAAUAACUUACAAGUUUGUCUCCAAGCACAGUACAUUUUUAUGGAUUUUUAAAGAAUUCACGUUCCCGUAAUUCUUACCUUCCUCCACCUAAAGUGACACAGUUUACCAAAUAAUUUGGAGUAAUGGUUAGAUUGGGUUAAAUUCUCAAGGCUUCCUCUUUAAAAAUCAUACAUUUAAUUCGGGUAGGGAAUGACUUGGCUUCUUUGUUCCUGUGAAAGAAGUAUAUAAAAAUGCCCCCUUAGUAACUAUGCAGUCAGCUUACUAUCUCAGCAAAGUCAUUGUGAACUUCUUCCCUGUCUCAGGUUGGAAAUAGGAACCAAUUCAAGGUAGAUUAAAGACUUAGGGCCGGGCGCAGUGGCUCAUAUCUGUAAUCCCAACACUUUGGGAGGCCGAGGUGGGUGGAUCACGAGGUCAAGAGAUCAAUACCAUCCUGGCCAACAUGGCCCGUCUCUACUAAAAAUACAAAAAUUAGCUGUGCAUGGUGGUGGGUGCCUGUAGUCCCAGCUACUCGGGAGGCAGGAGAACCACUUGAACCCGGGCGGCGGAGGUUGCAGUGAGCUGAGAUUGCGCCACUGCACUCCAAUCUGGUGACAGAGCCAGACUCCGUCUCAAAAAAAGAAAAAAAGACUUAAAUGUCAGACCUGAAACUAUAAAACUACUAGAAAAACAUAGAGAAAACUCUUCAGAACAUCGGCUUAGGCAGAUAAUUUAUGGAUGAAAUCUCAAAAGCACAGGCACCAAAAGCAAAAAUAGUUGAGUGGGCUAUAACUUCUGCACAGCAAAAGAAUCAACACAGUGAAGAGACAGCCCCUGGAGUGGGAGAAAAUAUUUGCAAAUUACUCACCUGACAGGGAACUAAUGUGCAGAGUAUAGAAGGAACUCAGACUCCUCAAAAGUUAAAAAAUCAAUGCCAUUAAAAAUAGGCAAAGGACAGGAAUAGAGACAUACAAAUGGCUAAGAUGUAUAUGAGAAACUGCUCAACUUCAUUGAUCAGGGAAAUGCAAAUCAAAACCACAGUGGGAUAUUAUCUCACCUCAGUUAGUAUGGGUAUUAUUAAAAAGACAAAAAAUAACAGAUGCUGGUGAGAAUGAAGAGAAAAGGAAACUCUGCUACACUGUCAGUAGGAAUGCAAAUCAGUACAAGCAUGAUGGAAACCAGUAUAGAGAAUUCGAAAAAAAGAAAAAAUAGAACUACUCUAUGGUCCAGCAAUCUCACUGGGGGGGUAUUUAUCCAAAGGAAAGAGUUCAGUGUAACAAAGGGGAACUUGCAUGCUCGUGUUUAUCACAGCAUUAUUCACAAUAGCAAAGACACAGGAUCAAUCCAAGUAUUCAUCAACAGAUGAGUGGAUAAGAUGUGCUAAAUAGACACAGUAAAAUACUAUUUGGCAUAACAAAUAAGGAAAUCGUGUCAUUUUCAGAAACAUUUUCAGAGACAGAAGGACAAAUACUACGGGUUCUCACUCACGUGAGAGCUAAAAAAACUUGAUCCCAUGGAAACAGAGAAUACAAUGGCAGUACCAGAGGCCAGGAAGACUGGGUAUGUGGAAGGGAGAAUGAAGAGAAGUUGGUUAUUGGGUACAAACCUACAUUUAGAAGAAAUAGGCUGUAAUGUUUGACAGCAGGCUGUGGUGGCUAAGUAAUAUUAUUAUGUGUAAAUAUUCAAAGUAACCAGAAUACGCAUUUUAUGCAUGUAACAAGUAUUUGUAUGUACCUUACAAAGAGGUAAAAUAUUAUGUGUCAAUAAGAUGGAGAGGUUAUGCCCAAGCCUCCAGAGAGGGGCUCCUUGGAUCCGCACAGCACAUCCUGCAUACCUGCAUCCACUGCUGCGCUAUGCUCCUCGUAUCUGAGCCUUCAUGCUCUGGUCCCCGAGGCAGGUGGUGCUGACUCAGGUGGCCACACUGUGGACCUGGGUGUUGGUGGCCCAGAGGGUGGGUGCUAGAGGCUUCCUGCCCUUCUUGUUCCACUGGGACCAGACGGAGCCAGGCAGUGACAGGGUACCACCUUCUUGACCGGAUCCUGGAACACAGGAGUGUCACCUGGCCCCUCGUCAUCCCAACUUAGCACCCAAAGUACCCCCGGGCCGGGGCCAUGGCUGGGCUGGAACUCAGGAUGGUUAGGAUGCAGCUCAAGCCUUGUGGCAUCUCUGGGUUCUCUGUCCACUGAGGGUGCCCUGGGAUGCAAAGCUGGUGGAAGAGGUUGGCAUUUCCCCAGCCUAUCCUCACUCAUGCCAAGCACCCCAGACUGUCCUUCCUGGUCCAUCGCCCUGGUCACAUUCCCCAGGGCAGCUCAGGGCUUUGUUCAGGGAUUUCCUGUAGUCAGGUGCCUGAUAAGUGUUGAGACGUGCAAGGCCACGUGGGCAGAUGGGGAGGUGCUCUUUGGUGAGCACCCCCAGCAGGGCAGUCCCCCACCCAGGUGUCUGCCUGCUCCUGCUUGUGUUUGACUGUUAACAGCGCUUCAUGCCAGGGCCACCAGCUCCCAUCCCUCCUGUCAGGAAGGACACAGACAGCAAGUGCCUGGGUGGUAAGGCAUUUGCCAGGUAACACAGGUGGCAAGUGCCAGAGCUGGGAUUUGAACCCGGAUCAUGGCACUCUGUGUGGGGCAAUGGAAGGUUUGAGAACGCCCAUGUAGGAAGGAAGGGCAGCCUGGCCCCACUGAGCCCAGCUGCUCCCUGUGACCCUGGAGGAAACUAUUCAGCCCCCAGCUGGGGAGAGAGUCCAGGAGGCCAGGCUUCCCCUUGCUUCCUGGCUCAGGGGAUCACAGAGGGACAAGGAAAUUUAGUGUAUGUGUCUUCUUUUUGUUUCAUUCAAAGUUUAAUUUAGUAUCAAGCAAGAGGAGCUUUAGUAUCAAGCUCCUCUUUUUAGUAUCAAGCAAGGUAGCUUAACCCUUCAUAAGACUUCAGUUACAAAAUAGUACUUUUUUUUUUUUGCACUUGUGAUUGGCUUCCCCUCUACUUCUUUUGGUAAGAGUAGGUUGGUGUCCAGGCUCAGAAUCCAUUUUUCCUCCCACACCAAAGCACCUGUGGUUUGGGUGAAGCAGCCUGGAGCCUGGCUGCAUAAAGCUUUGCAGCAGGAGGGUCCCGGUAGGAGGGUCGAGGUGCUACUUGCCCUGGUCCAGCUCAGAGGCCAGCACCAGGGAGGCUCAGUGUCCUGUUCCCAGGAUCUGCACAUGGGGUUGCCUUUCUGCAUCUCCCCAUCAGAGUGGUAGGUGCUCCUCCAAGCCCCCUCAUGCCGGCCUGGACACAGCGGUCUGCACCUUGACCCUAUUGCAUGCCAGUGGAGCAGAGCCCCCCAGGCCAGAAGCCCCACAGCUGUUGGCCCUGGCUUGGACACUGGGCAGGGGGCACCAGGGCAGGAGCUGGCUGCAAUCCUGUGGCCCCAAAUGCCCCCUCGCUGAUGGCCUCAUGUUCUGUUCUGGGUGCGGAGCAAAGAGGAGCAGGUGUCGAAGGCACCUCAGGCAGGCGCUGGGCUUAAUGGGCGUCUUGUGCUCCAUGAUUUUGAGGCCAUUUGCAGCCAGCUCCGCCAGCCCGAGCUCCGAGCUGCAGCUGCUGCCAUGCACAACAGCACCGCCAGGAGUGUCCUGGGGGCUUUCUUCAGGGGAGGCUGUCAGCAUCCUCAAGUUCCAGCUGCUUAGCCCCAGUCCUCCUUCAAGAGGCUUUUUUUUUUCACCAGCGGCUUCUCAAUGGCCUGAAAGCUCAGCUGACUCCCACAAAGUUUGCCGGGAACACAGGGCUGUCAGUGACAUUCCUGGCGCCAAGACUUAAGCACGUGGGUUGCACGCAUCGGCCAGUGUCUGUGCCACGUACACUGACGCCCCCUGAGAUGUGCACACCGCACGCGCACGUCGCACGCGCGGCAGCGGCUUGGCUGGCUUGUAACGGCUUGCACGCGCACGCCGCCCCCGCAUAACCGUCAGACUGGCCUGUAACGGCUUGCAGGCGCACGCCGCACGCGCGUAACGGCUUGGCUGCCCUGUAACGGCUUGCACGUGCAUGCUGCACGCGCGUUAACGGCUUGGCUGGCAUGUAGCGGCUUGGCUUGGCUUUGCAUUCUUUGCUUGGCUUGGCGUUGGUCGCUUGGAUUGACGCUUCCUCCUUGGAUUGACGUUUCCUCCUUGGAUUGACGUUUCCUCUCUCGCGUUCCUUUGCUGGACUUGACCUUUUC